AGUGGGAUAGCUGGGUCAAAUGAGGGUUCCAUUCCAAGUUUUUCUAAGGAAUCUCUAUACUGCUUUCCAAAGUGGUUGCACCAUUUUGCAAUCCCACCAGCAAU
rnacentral:pre_miRNA from 1 species